AUGCAAGUGUAAGUUCACGCCACGCAUUAGAACGGGCGAAACCGCGAAUGGCUCAGGAACCGGACCUAAUCCUCGGGACCGUAAUCCUCCUCGGAGGCGUUGGAUAACUGUGGCAAUUCUAGAGCUAAUACAUGUGACACAGGCCGCGAUCGGCCGUCGCGUCGUGGUCGCCUCGCCUCGCGCGCUGGCACCCGCGGCGGCCGUCUUGGGUCGCGGCGCUACAUAUUAGACUGAGACCGAUGCGCGAUUCACGGCCUCCCUUCCUUCGGGUCGGGAUCAAGGUCGUCGCGCUCCGCUUUGGUGACUCUGGAUAACUCACUGGUCGAUCGCACGGGCUUCACGCCCGGCGACGGGUCCCCCGAGGGUCCGCCCUAUCAACUGUCGACGGUCGGUUAAGUGCCUACCGUGGUUACUACGGGUAACGGGGAAUCGGGGUUCGAUUCCGGAGAG
rnacentral:rRNA from 1 species